AGCAGUAAAUAAUCAACAAACAAAAAGAACAAGGAUUAAACUCAUUCGUCACUAACUAGCACAUCUGUAGCAAAUCCAGAGGAAGAAAAAAGGGAGGAAAACAACCAUCUUUACAACCUUGUGUUUUAAAGCAGCCUGGAAAAGAACAGGAGGAUUGCUCGUGCUGCUGAAGGUCUCCAGGACAGGACACACUGUCUGUCUCCUGUGCUGGUGUAGGGAUGUGCCAUGAGCACUACAGCACUCUGCUGCUUCCAGCCUGUGGAAUAACUGAUGGAUAACACAAGAGAGGAGUCCCUGUGAGUGGGGGAUGUCAGCAUUGAGAUGCAAUGUUUCAGGAGAGUCUGCUCCCCAGCAAGCUGCUUAAAUCCCCCUGCAGAUCUGGAAAAUCCUCAGUUAUUGUGGCUUCCCAAGGGCCACAUCCUGAGAUGUGAAGCACUGACAGGUGGAUAAUAGAAAUGUUCUGGACAGUCAGAAUGCUGCUGGAGAUGACAUAUGAGAAGGUGAGUGAGCAGCUCUGUUCCUUCAUGACAGAUCUCCUCUGCAGGACCAAGAGGCAGAUUUAAACUCCUUGCUGAAGGGUCCUGGCCAGGAAAGUUAUUUGAGAGUAUCUACUGCUCAGUAUUCAGCACAUCAGCAACACCCAGUGUUUUCCUAUUCUGGAAGAGGGAGAAAGACUUCUCCACACUGCCCUGGGUUUUCAGGUUUGGAUCUGUUCAGGGCCAAAGUGACAUCAGCACAGACUCUGUCAGGUUUGUUUUUAUGAGCUGUGUGAGCACAGGCAGUUCUUUGGUGAAAUAACUGCUUUUCAGCUGUUUGUCGCAAGUCUCACUUUCAAAGUUUGCCUGUUUUCCCAGAAAAUCACUGCUGGAGUGCAUUUGAGGAGGGCCUACCUUCUGGUUAUCUGUGUAACAGCUGAGAUCAAAGAACCUUUACAUGUGUUGGCUUUUAAGCAUCCCUGAAUCCAGAGCUGGGCAGGGAGAGCUAAGGAGAAGAAAAGGCAACACUGGAAGACUGAGGCAGUUGAUCCAGUGCUGGAAAAGUGUUCCCAGGUACCUUCUCAAGGAGCAAAAUUUGACAGUGUGGCUGUUUCCUGCUCCUGAAAAAGCUCCCUGUGUCCAGCACAGAGCCACAUGCAGCUCUUAACUCAUUACCUGGCCAUGGAUCAUCAA